rnacentral:rRNA from 1 species
UACAGAGGUCCCGAGCGUUUGUUCGGAUUCACUGGGCGUAAAGGGUGCGUAGGUGGUGAGGUAAGUCGGAUGUGAAAUCUCCGGGCUUAACCCGGAAAUGGCAUUGGAAACUACCUUGCUAGAGGAUUUGAGGGGGGAUUGGAAUACUUGGUGUAGCAGUGAAAUGCGUAGAUAUCAAGUGGAACACCAGUGGCGAAGGCGAAUCCCUGGAAAAUACCUGACACUGAGGCACGAAGGCCAGGGGAGCAAACGGG